rnacentral:snoRNA from 1 species
CCAUCUCGCACAGUGUCGGCACCGACGCAGCACUGUUCAGCCACAGCCGGCUUCUUCUUCUGUGCUCGCGGACGA